ensembl:lncRNA
GAAGCUCAUUCUUUGCCUUGCCGCCCUCACGGUACAACCCCCACGCACAGGCCUGCCAGCUCAUGCUGGCGAUGCUUCCAAGAGGGAAACGGCAGGCAAAACUAGUCUAUAUGUUCGAUGGGGUAGAUGAGGACUGAAUGAUCAGGUGCAGGCAUCACUGGCAGCAGCGUAAGCCAACAUCCGAAGGCCUCGUCCCAGAAAACAGGGAGGAUUCAUUUCAAGCUCUAAGACCGACUGAAGCCUGGCACUCCCUGACAAAUGCAUUCCAGCUGGUUUCAAUCCACACGAGACACCAGUGUGUGUGUGUGUGUGUGUGUUGUGUGUGUGCGCGUGUGUGCGUGUGUGUGUGCGCGCGCGCGCGUGUGUACGUGUGUUUAUGUAUCAGCAUAGUAAAGAAAAGGCACUUGGGAAGCUGCAGACUUCCAUCUCAUCUCUCUUUUGCUCCGCAGCUCUCUCCCAGAGAGGAAGACGCAUUAAAUGUCAGAGAAGACGUUAACUCUGGGCGGUCCAAGGAGAUGAGAGUUUUCAAAUACAGAAUGAAGAAGAGCAUAAAGAGCUGA